rnacentral:tRNA from 1 species
GCUGUAGCUCAGUGGUAGAAUGCUUGCCUAGCAUGUGUGAGGCGCUGGGUUCAAUUCUCAGCACUGCA